UUUUAUCAUCUCUCUUCUCAUCUUUGUUUUGAAACGCCUAGGGUUCCUUCUCUCUCUAUAUUCAGGCGAUUCAAACUUCACAAACCCUAACCCCCUUUAACAAUCACCACCACCGAGAAUCGCCCUAUAUCUGGAUACUAACACCAACAAUCAGAGCAUAAUAAACCUGCAACUUUAGCAGCAUCUUCUUCGUCGAGAAAUGAUCUGGAUCAGAUGCGUCUUUGCUCGAAUCUUGGUGUGACCAAUCAGAUGGUUAAAGCUUCCCAAGAAUCCAUUCAAAAUACUAAAGAGUUUGAUAUAUGGUCUGGGUUAUUAGCAAAGGUGCCCUGAUCUAGCAAAGCCGGAUUUGUAUUUUUAGAAUUUUAAGGUGCCUGGCUUAGGUGAUUCCAGUUGAUGGUAGCGAUUGUUGGUGACGGAGAUGAACUUCGGCUGCCAGACCACAACCACAUGGGUUUCUGAUGGUGUUCGAUUUCAUCAAAGUUUAUGUGAUAAAAAAUGAGUAUGUGCUACGUUGACCUGCUCAAGAAGAAUGAAGAUUGCUUUGGGCACGAUUCAGAUGUGUAUGCAUCUCCGCUAUAUGCAUGGUGGCGCUACCAAGUCCUUUGGAAAUCCACAUCGCUGCAAGUUCACUGGAUAAUCCACCAUCGGACCUGUAUCUUGGGUCUUUUCAUGCUGGUGACGAUGUUGGCUCCCCAAAGGGGUACCUCGGAUCAGCUGCUCUUUAGAAGACUACAGAAGCUGAUGUUGCUGGGUCUCUGUUCUGUCCAUUCUGCUUCUAGGGGGUACUCAUGAGAACUGGAUGCAUCAGUACUGGAUGGUUGUUCGCAUCGUCAAGCAUGCUAUGGAGAAACAACCGUAAAAAGGUUGAUGGUUGUUUGCAUCGUCAAGCACGAUAUGGAGAUCAUCCACCUUUUCACCGAUGCAUCGUCAAGCACGAUAUGGAGAUCAUCCACCUUUUCACCGAUGCUAAUCCCAUCCAAAUCAUUCUUGACGCUGUCAUUAACAGAUAUGGCUGCAACUGCAUUCGUUGAGGCAGUGCAUGUGAUAGACUUUGUCAAACAACUUCUGAAUAGGAAUGACACAACAAGACCUUUAUCUGAUGCUGACCGGGUGAAGGUUUCGCCUUUUAUCAACUGUAAACGAGCUGAGCCGAGCCCGAGAUAAAAAAAGCACUUAAAGGAGUGAAGGUUGAAAUAACUCACCGUGGAACUAUGCGCCGGAGGUUUAACAUAUCCGGUUUAACAUCUCAAGCAACACGCGAGCUACAGUUCACGGUUGGUGGUGACGGAGAUACGGUGACGAAAUAUGUGGUUGAUUACUUCAAGGAUGCUUACGGGUUUUCCAUCCAGCAUGUACAUUGGCCGUGCUUGCAACUUGGCGGGACCCAUAGGAAAAAUUAUAUGCCUAUGGAGGUCUGCAAGAUUGUAGCGGGCCAGAGGUAUUCAAGGAAGCUAAAUGAGCGACAAGUUACCGCCCUUCUUAAGGUCACGUGUCAACGCCCUCAGGAUCGAGAGCACGGUAUUCUCAAGGUAAUGUUAUCUAAUUUA